UGACGGCCAUAUCACGUUGAAACACCGGUUCUCGUCCGAUCAACGAAGUUAAGCAACGUUGAUCCUGGUCAGUACCUAGAUGGAUGAUCGCCAAGGGAAAUCAUGUGCUGUAA